ACAGCCCGAAAAAUACCACCUGCGUGGGAAGGACCUGAAGGACCUGAAGCCUGGUUUUUACUAUCUUGCACAUGCAACAGGAACAAAUGAGUCUCAUGCUGAAAACAUCAUUAGAGAAGAAGCCAAGUUACAUUUCACAAACUGUUUUACAUUAUCUACAAGAAAGGUCUGUGUAAGAGGGUUUAGGGGAAGGAGAGAAUAUUU